rnacentral:lncRNA from 1 species
AGGGUACUAGCGAGAUUUCUCUGUCACUACCAUAGCAAUAUUGCAUAGCACCAGAUCUUUGAUGAUACAAGUCACCAUAACUAAAACUUCAAUUGGGGUGUUGUUCCAAUCUUUGCCAUAAACACAAGAUCUAUCUAGGGCUCCUUUUGUUAGGACUGUAAUUUGAGAACAUAUUAGAACUAGUUCUAUGAACUCAAGUGAGAAAUUCAAUAAA